ACCAUCCUUGGGGUUGCGCUACUGUCCACUGAACGUCCAGUGAGGACAGUACAGGUAACGCCUACACCACACGUCCCCGCCAGCUACAGCACUACCUUAGCUUGUUGCCAACAUUUUUGAAUAA
ensembl:snRNA